CGGACAAGCCCGAGGUUCACGACACACAAAACCACCUUGCCACGACAGAAGCGAGGGUGCAGAGGGACACCUCGUCUGGACCCUGUGUCCCCUGUUCAGCAUCGGGGAGGCCGGCAGACCAGGCACGGAACCCACAGGAGGCAUCCCUUCCCACAUUGCCUUCUCACUUCCUUUCCGCGACAGUAACGCAAGGAGAAAAUCGCAUCGCAGUAGCAUCUGGCUUCUGCCGCGUCAACUAAGCAUUUCUCCAGAACCCUGCGCCCAGCAGGCGGGGCUGAGCUGGAAGCCCCAUGAGUGGACACGUGGUCCUCAGCCCUCUCCGGACGCUCACUUCCUCAAGGCCUGUGGAGGGCAAAGCAGGCGCCUGCGUUUUCUGGCUCCACCUACUUAAGACUCUUCCAGAACCCAUCCUCCUACAGGUGAGGCAACCGGCACACGUCUCCCCAGCGAGCAGGCUCUAAAGCCGACCCCUGAGCUCCCGGCGGGGUUGGGGGACCCUGCUCUCACUGGAGCAAAUGCUCCAGCUAAACUGGCAAAGUCCCCAAGGAUCUGACUUCUGGGGCACCUGUGGAGCAGACACUUUUGUGGAUUGAGCAACUGGCCACAUCCUCGUCCUGCUCUGAACCGUUCCCGGGUUCACACCCCUCCAUGCAGAACAGACUAGAGCAUCGUCACCUGCAGUGCUCAGGUAAGUCCUCCAGAUGCUCUCACAGUCCCAACACAGCAGGCCCUGCCCCAGGGAAACCCACUGCCUGCACUCAACCCCCUGCUUCCCAAACAACUCCCCCACGGAGCCUCUGUGCACAGACGCCACAGGGCCGGCCGUGCCACUCGCCGGGCACUGCUCAGGGCAGAGGGCCAACUCGGGCUGUCAGGUGCACCGGAGGGAGAGCUCAGGGCGCACGCCAGCUGUGGGCAUCCCGGGGGUGUCGGGGGGCGAGACAGAAGGGUCCCAGCGUGAGUGCAUAGGAGCAUCUGGCGGGGAGCCCUGAGGAUGCACAGCAAGAACAGAGAAGAGUGCUGGUGAAGGUGCAGACGCCACGACGAGCUCGAGGACAACGACAAAGGGGCUGCAGCUGAAGUGGAAUCUGCAGGCUCACGGCACUGCAGGCCCAUCUCCCGUGUUCCCACCCCACAGGCGCCGGCCAGACGGACCCCGCCAGACCCACUGCUGCACAGAGACAGUGGGAGUCCCGAAGGAUCCGGAGAUCUUUUUUUUUUUUUUAAUUAAACUUCCAAUGUGAGAAAAGCGUAGAUUCAAAUGCAGUUGUUACAAGUAAUCCAGACAGAUGCCCUUCGCCCGGUUUCCCAACGGUAAGAAUGCGUAAGAGCAGCACAUCAUCACAGCCAGGAUACUGACAGGGAUACAGUCACAGAACACCCCUCACCACGAGGCCCCCUCCUGCGGCGAGGCCGGUGUUUGCACUGAAACUGGACAAGGUUUCACCAAGACGCAGCCACGCUCAGGGCCGGCAGGGGGUGACG